UGGACUCCAUUUAACAGAUAGAUAUUAUCCAGUAAGACUAGAUACCAGUUGUUUAUUUAAUUGAAUUUUAAUGAAUUUGGGUUAAUUCUUGAAUUUCUUUUUUAAUUCAACCUCAAUUACCAUUAUGAAGAUGACAAUGCUGACUAGGAUUAGGCUGAGCUUGAACAGUGGGUGGACCAUAAAUCUCAUCAACGGUGAAGACUGGAAUUUUGAUUUUGUGUUUUCUGGAAACAUUUUUUUGCCAGUGACAAGAUUUAAAAAUACCAUGGAAACUUCAAAUCUUCAGGAUUCAAGUUGAUGACGAUGGUGAUGUGGAAAUUGAAUACAAGGAAUUUGCUUGAUAACAAAGCAAAAAAAAUGAUGACAAAAAUGGAAGACAAAAGGUUAAAAGUGAUGAAUAUGAGGAAAAUGUUACCUGAGAUGAAACAAGCAUUCAAGCUAACAGUGUAAUUGAAAUUAACAGAUAAUUCAAAUUCUCUGCAUAACUUUUUUUGCCUCUUCCACCAUCAACUUAA